rnacentral:lncRNA from 1 species
CCAGACUUUUACGAAAUCCUGACUUAUGUUUUUUGACAUAUAUCUUGUCAGGAGUCUUUAGAUGCAAACCCAAUAAGACCGAAUAUUCUUCUAUGGUGGGAGUCAUAUCAGCUUCGUUAAAGAUAAAACACCUGUAUGUAGGAUCCCAGAAUUGUGUUGCAGCUCUAAUUAGUUGAUCAUCAACAGCCACUGCUAGAAGGUGUGCUAUAUGCCCAUGCUUCUGACAAAACUGCCCUUGUCUUGACAGACUCAUCUUUUUCCAGAUGUCAACCAAAUCUUCUAAAUUGUUCUGUUUGAGGAGGACAGAUGUUUCUUGAGACAGAGUAGACUCAUACCCAAUUGGCAAGCAAU